GUCAGUGAAGUAACCAGGAUACAAACCAGAACCGAGCAGGUGGAACGUUAGCUGGUUGAGCCAUUGUGCCAGCCCUAAGCGUUAGUGUUCUUUUGAUGAACUCUUUACAUGGAACUUCGCAAACACCUUUAUCCUAAGACUGUACUUUAUGUUAAGUUCCUUAUUCCUACUCCAGGAUGUCUUGUUCUUUACCUUUCCAGUGCUGUCACAGAUUUGAUGCAUUCUGAAUAUUUAAUGAAUAGUUAGAGCAUGAAUUAAUAUUAGAGCCAACAGUUUCAGUCAGAGGAUUCAUGAUUUGGGAAAUAAAGCAGAAGUAAUUGAAGAUACUUGAGAAAAAUGGCACAAUACUAUGUAAUACAUUGCAUAGUAAAUAUAUUAGUAGUGAGGGUGCUGUUAGUGAAUUUAGCAGUGUGUAUAGAACUGCAAAAAAAAAGGCAAAGAAAAAAAAAACCAUGGUAGAAAUGCCUUCUAAGUUUCCUAUGCUCAUGCAUUCAAUAUAGAAACCAGAAGAUUAAUUUUACCAUUCAAGUAUGAAGCACUGAAACACAUUGUAUUAAUUCGAGAAAUUUUGAAUGAUAUGUUUUCUUGACAUGCUUAGAAUGUCCAGUGAUGUUAAUUAGAACUCUACAAAUAUCUGUUUUUAUGACAGUUUUUUUUUCCUCACAGAAGGAAAAGGAAAUUCUUAUUUAAAAAGAAAUUUUUGCUUGAUGUCUGACUCCUAAGACUUGCAGAUUUCUUUGCUAUAUUUAUUUAGGACAUGGAACACAUGAGAUUAAAAUGAAUGUAAGUUUAAAAAUUAAGGUGUUUUCAAAAGUGGAAACUGAGCCGAGAUAUUAAUUUUAUACUUCCUUAAUUUUGAAUGUCCCAUGUCAUUUCUUUCAUGAUUGUAAGAGUGUUAUCUGCCAAAGAGUUUUGUUUCUAAGCUUAUACAAAAUUCAUCGCCAAAGCCAUCUAUUGUGUAUCGUUUUACACAUGACUCCAGGUUGAGAAUGAUAGCUGUGGUCUAGCUGGUUACCUGGGGUGAGGUGAAGUAGAUGGAGCAAAUUAACAGAGCCUGCUCUCCGAUUAUAUAUAUUCCAAGUUCAGCUACACAAGUACUCUCUGAGGUAGUCACUACACAUUUUUCUGUACGCAAGGAAGUGCUAGCCAAUGUCUUUUUAAAAGAUAUAUAAUUGUAAAUAUCCUUGUUUAAAAGCACGAUCUUCGCCAUUAAGUAGAAUUUGCUUCGAAGUUACCUCUGUUCCCACCAUUGGUGGGUGUAUGGGCAUCUUAGUGAUACCGUCUCUGGCAUUGGUCAUAUCCUGUCCGUGUUCAGGCAGUUCUUCCUCCAGGUAUAGACCAGCACAGGCAACCUCAAGACUGCUCUGCUGUAACAGUUUUAGUGAGGCAUACCCUGAUGGUUCUAUGUGCGGUUAUAACACUUCUGCCAGUGACUACCAAUCUUUGUUGUCCUGCUCCAGUUUGACUUUUUUCCUUUUUAUAUCCUUACCACCUUCUAAGAAGUUUUAUAAUUUACUUACUUAUUUUCACUAUGUUUUAUCUGUCUUAUUCUAUACCUGAUGGAAUAGGAGAUAUAUGAAAGAAGGCUGUUUAUUUAUUUAUUUUUUCUGGCACAACUCAAGUACUUUGAAUAACAGCAAUAUGUAAUAGUUUCCCAACAGAUAAUUCUCAAAUGAGUAUAUUUUACUUAAUGUAAAACUGAUACUCUAUUCAACAUUUGUGAUGUCAAGAAUGUUGGACAGGUGGUCUUCAAAGUAAACCCAGCAGCUCUAGUUCUGUGGAAACCAGCGGAUGGGAAGCAAAGUGUCUUGAUAUUUUUAGUUGUUCGUUUUAGCACAGUUUUAUUCCAUCUGUCUACUUUGAGAGAAUAAUUGGGACAUUAGUAAACCAUAGUGCUUUUCUUUUCUCUGUGCUGUGUAGUUUUUUUUUUAUAAAAAAACUUUAUCAACUCGAGUGCAAACACCAAGUAAUGUUUUAUGGUAUGCAUUUUACAUUUUUUUUUUUUUUUGCUAAAAAUUGGACUAGGCUUAGCUUUAGUGGGCAAUCAUUCAUUCAGAAAUUCUAAUUCUAUGCCUGGAAUAAAAUUUCUCUUUUCCCCAAUAUUACAGACUACUAACUCAAAAUUAAAAUUUAUUAUGAAAAUUAAACUAUACCAUCUUUAUAACGACAAAAUAUUUCAGCAUGAACUUAACUGUUUGGAGUUAGUAACUCAGUAAAACAGGAGGCUAUUCUUAUGUCUUAUUUAUUUACUACCUUGGGAAAAAAUAGUUUUGCUUUUUCUGGUGCAAGAGCUGAAACUGAAGUUACAGGAUCUUUAAGUUUUGUUUUGUUUUGAUUUUUCACACUGAAAUAUAAAAUUUAUGGCUUAAAAGUACUCUGAGAUUUUAGGUAGCAGAUCUGAUUUGUUUACCAGGAUGUUAAGCUUUCAACAUUUUAUAGACAUGGUGAGGAUUCCAUAUGAAUUUUGUUCCUGGGCUUCUGUUGAAGGAAUGAAUACAAGGAAAACCAGCAUUGGCUACAAGAAAUACAUUUUCUUUUCUGAAUCUUCCUCAGUGUUUAUGACUUAUCACCCUUAUUGUUUUACAUUGUUAAUGAUCACUUUCAAGCUGGAAGCUAUUGAGUAAUUUGAAAAGAAAGAAUAUUAUAAUUUUAAUGACAGAAAACACGAAUAUAGGCUUUAUUGUGAGACAUCUUGGAUUUAAGUCAGUAGUCCUAUUUGCCAUUUGUCUCUACUAAGUUAGAUUGUGACUGCUCAGCCUCAGUGUUUAUGUCUGUAAAAUGGGCAUUACAGCAUUACUGAGAGGAGUAAUGUGUGAUUUACUGCCUAGAAAUGUGUCUGGAACAGAGUAGGACUCAGUUUUACUUUCUUCUACCACUGUUUUCAUUAUUUUAGAAGAUAGUUUGUAAGAAAAAUAAUGUUCUAAAAUAUUAGUUCCCUGAAAUAAUUACCAACAAAUAUUACAGCACGUUGAACUUCCUGACCAGGGUGCUGUUUAUUCAGUGUUUGGUAGGUGCUGAUUUCCAUGGUCUGUGUAGUAUAGUAGAUUUAUGAGGGAGGCAGCACACAGAGGAAGUGAUCUGCCCACUGUCACGUGGCUGGCAAGAAGGCAGUGUCAAAAAGUGAAGCACUUUGCAUGGAGUUUGAUAAGACCGUCACCGUGGAGCUUCAUGACAACCUUGGCCUGGAGGAAACAAAAUAAAGUAAGCCUUGAUAUAAAAAGAAGAUUCUGGGCAUGUUUUUAGAAAAUAAAUACCCUUGGAUUGAGCUCAAGAGUAGUUCAGUAACUCCAUAGGGAAUGGAGUUAGAUUAGAUACCAAAUGGGUAAAAAUACCUCUUCAAAUAUACUUAUAUUGCCUGUGUGUAUACACACACUUCCUUGUGUCUUCAAAGUACACUCUUAAACGUUUAAAUAAAGAGAGAAAUCAUUCCCUAACAGACUUAUAAGCCAAUUUAGAGGUCAUUGAACAGAUGUCAUAUAAUACUAAUGUUAAAUUAUCCUAUGUAAUAAGAAAAUUAUAGUACCUAAAUGAAGAUAGUAAAAGGAAACCAUCCAAUGAAUUACUCUAGAAUUUCAAAUGAAAUGAUAUCUUCAAAAUUAGCAGUGGUACCAUAUGAGUUUAGAAAAGUUAAGUCUGAUAGGGCAAAGAAAAAUCAGAGACAAAAGCUUUUCUGUGUUUAUAUGUGCCAAUUUUUGGUUGCAAUACCAGAAAAGCAAAUGUAAUACAAUACUUUCAAUUGUCCAGGAAGGAUGUUAUUAUUAAACUGUAUGCCAAGGCAUUUAUUAAAAUCCGUCUCAACUUCUCAUUGAGUUGUUUCAUGUAAAAUCACAGUAAUUGUUUCUAGUGUACACAUUCUUCAUUUGCUAUUAGGUAUACUUUAAAAGCCUAAUGAUUUUGGGAACAUAAUAUGACCAAAAGAAUAAAAACGUACAAAGUUUGACAACUUUAAAUAAUCACUUGCAUUUCUUUAGGAACAAACCUCACUUACAGUUAGGAAACAAUAUUUAUAUUUAAGGUUGAAAAGCCAGGAUGUAGGAGAAUUUUGCUAAUUUGGAAGAUGACCUGUAAGUGCACCAAAACCAAAUAAUUUGUAGGCUAUGACACAGGGCACAUUCCUACACAAUUUGUGUGAAUACAGCUUUAGUGGUUCUUGAAAGACAAACAAAGAAAGCUGGAAUGAAAUCUUUACUCACUUCCAAUAAGACGGAGCCUAACAAAAGAGUACAGCAGCGCCCUUUCAAAGCUUGCCAUUCAGAUGAGGUCUCUGUAGCACAGUUAAUGAGAUGGUUCAUAGUGGAAAACAAUCUGUUUUUAAGAAUGUUUAGAUCAAAAGUAAUUUCUGAUCUAUGAAAUAAAGUCUCUUCAAUACCCUUCAUUCACCAGUAAAGCUUUUAUGUUUGUAUUAUUUACUUCAAUCAGAUGUUUUCAAUUUUACCUUUUCCUUGUACAAAUACUUGACAUGGUUCAUCAAUACUGACCAACAGUUUUAUUCUUUUUCUUCAGAAAAGAGAGUUUUAAGAGAGGGAGAAUGAAAAAGAGAGAAACAUCUUUGCCUAAACGAUUUGCAAGCAUCUGUGCUUUAAGCUACUUUUUAUGAACACUCCUUAGUAAAUGACUCAAGGUAAAAAAGCAGAAAAGCAUCCAAUGUUAGGAAAUUGCAAUCCAAUACCAUGUAAUUUAAACCUGCAGUUGCUUCUCUUGUACUAAAUGACAUACAGAUGGGUAGCUUAGUUCUCUCAACUUUGGGAACACAAUUGGUCUUUUUGUAUGAAUGAAUGUAUAUUAACUAAAAUAUUUUGAAUAGAAUAGUUUAAUUUUAAUUGCACAGAUUUUAAUUACCUAUGCCAUUUGAAGGGAUAAUUUUAACUAUGAUAUGUUAUCAUGUUAAAUGUGCAGUGAUUGAUUUUUUUUUGACAAAAUUAACAGAAUCCUUCCAACAAAUAAAUAAUAAAGAGCAUGAUAACUUUUAAGGAGUCUGUAGGGAACUGAGCAGAAUCUCACCUACUAUAGACAACUGAUUAUUUAAGAGAGAGCCAUUCUACAUUCCAGCUGUUGAAAGGCUUAUUCUGACAGGAUAAACAUUUCUUGGGGGAAACAUUUGUGUCUGCCUCUUAGAUAAUAGUAAAAUGUAGGUGGUAGAUAUUUGGGUAAAGCUUGAGUAUGAUAUGGCGACCAGUGAGAUGAGGAGCCAGCAUGCUGUGUGUGAUCUGCCAGCUGUCCUGUGGGUCUCUGCAGGCCAAAGAAACGACCGAGGGCUGAUGGAAGGCCAGCUGAGGUGCUGGAGGAGAGCCCCCAAGUUGACUCCAAGACAUACCUUUCUGUUUGGCUCUGCUCUGCUCUUUUCCUGCCUCCCUAAUUUCUUGUAGAGAAUCAACCACUCCACCUUGGGGGCCUUGAUUCUGGAAGUAGAUAUCCUUUUUCAGCCCCACAAUCAGGGUAACUGGUUAGUUAAUUUCUUCCCUUGGCUUAAUUUCAAUGAUCCCAUGUACUGUGACAUUAGGAACUUGCAACGUAAAAGAAGUAGAAAAUCUUUCCACUCCUCAAUCAUAUUUCUGUAUAUUUUAAAAGAAUUUGAAUUUAAUAUUCAGGAACCUAGCAUGCUUUCUUUAAGUAAAAUAAAAAUGUAGGACCUUCUGCAAGCUUCCUUUUCGCUGUGAUGGAUGGCAAAGAAAAGUCAUUUUACUGCAGUGAGUAAUGGUUGCCCUGUCCUGGAGUUAUAUUUCUUCUCAAUCAUUUGUGCAUGUAAAAUAAAAUAUUACAUAUAAACAGGUGUUAUCUGAGUGCUUUACUGCAGUCUGUAUAGGUUAUAGUUAAAAGCUGCCAUCAUUAUUAAAAUCACAUUGGAUCAGUGAAGUUUUUCUAGAUGGGCUUUCCAAAAGGAUCAUGUAGGGCUAGAAACAAAAUCCUAUUUUCUUUUCCCCCUUUCUUUGUUUUUCUCCCUGCUUGUUUUUCUGUUCUUUCCUUGGGAAUCUGCGCUCAUGUAAAUGGUUGUCCUACAGUUCACUGAAGGUUUUUGUGUUACUGUUUAACAUAGUUAUAGCCUUUCAAGAGACGUUUAUUUUUAAGAACACUACAAACUAUUUGAAACAUCAGAGGGGAUCACAGAUAGCAUUUCAAACUGCAGGAAAACGUAUCUUUGGGACUCCAAGAACAAUCAUUAGGACAUGGAUAAAUCAGCUAUCAUUCAAUUUCCAUUGAAUGAUCGCUUCAAGUUAUCCUACAAGUUAUAUCAUUUUUUUUUGAUUGAAGAGCUAUGAUUUAACUUAAUAUGCCCAUCAUCUUAUCUGCAUGAUAUACAUAUUUGUCAGUAGGGUUAUGUUUUCAUGUUCAUUUGGAAAGAAAGUCUCAGGCUAUUGGAAGACAAAAAAACAUUGUACUACUGUCAUGGGACUGUUCAGGGAAUUUUUAGUGUCACAUACAGGAAGCCUUGGCUAUAGCACAUUGCCACUACUUCAGUGGAAUCAGUUGGAUUUCAAGAAACAUUUUUUUGAAGUUAGAGAAAUAAUCAGAUGCAGUUCAGGUAAGCUUUUCUAGUGCAUUAGGGACUGUUCUGGUCAUUGACAAGUGACUGCAGAAGCUGUGCUGUGGCGGACAGCCAAAGCAAUUAUUUAGGAUUCAAGCUAAAAAGCCUCCUUCUCCCAUAUCCUCUUUCUUUCCAGGGUCAUGUAGGGAUAAAAAGAACUGUAAGGUGGUCUUUUCCCAGCAGGAACUGAGGAAGCGGCUAACACCCCUGCAAUACCAUGUCACUCAGGAGAAAGGGACUGAAAGGUAAGGUGAGCUGUAAUAAAAAGUCAUUAAGUGAAAGCUCGUUUUCUUCAUUCCUUCUCUUCAAAUUCUCUCCCUUGCCAAUUAACUUAAAGAUUUCUAGCUUGAUGGCUGAACUGUACAAAUUAAUAUCCUUGAAAAUGGUAUUGUUUAGGUUAAGACCAAGCUUUAUUUUGUUCUUUUCCUCUAUUUAAUGAACACUAUCUUAUGGAAAGUCACAGUACUUUUGUCAAGGGCCUGUUUUUAGUUUAGUACAAAAUGUGUGGAAGUAAUAGCGAUUUAGGUACAUUUUUGGGGAAGACAUCACAGUAAGCAAAACCAUGAGGGACAUGGAGUGUUGCCAGGAUGCUGAGAUUUUGAAGGUGGCCAUUGUAAGUAUAGACGUCUUGGCUGCAAAAAGAAGGUAGCAUAAUUUAGUUCCUUUCUAUCCCACUCCAAUUCUUUUUGAAGCACAUGUGGAGAAAGUAUUUAUUGGCUCAUUUGUGGUUGGAAUGUCAAAAAUUUUCAAUAACUGCCCUCACAUGGCUUUGGUCCUUGGAAGUUUGCCCUAAGUCUUAAAAAAAGAGUUUGUUCGCUUCCAAGACUGUGUUUUAGUGCAUAAAGCCUCUCUCAGCUGAUUCCAGCGUAAAGGUAACUUGCCAAGGUCCGACGAUUUUGUUGUCUAGUUUAUACCAUGGUGCUUGGCAUAAGGCCAUAACUUAACUCUGAUCCGAAUGUAUUAAUGAUGUAACUUGUUGUUUUCAUUCAUGAACUGGAAGAGCCCUUCACCACACGUGGGAGCCCUGUUAAUGGCCAGCACUGUCUCACUGUGACUUUUCCCGCCUUUGACUGAAUUUACCAAAGGUUGGAUCUCUGACAGAAUUCACUCUUGCCGUGCGUGCCUUUGAAGGAGAAUACACACAUCACAAAGAUCCUGGAAUAUACAAAUGUGUUGUUUGUGGAACUCCAUUGUUCAACUCAGAAACCAAGUAUGACUCUGGCUCAGGUAUGUUUAUAUUAAUAAUGUUAUUCUAAUAUUUUACUUACGUCAAUCUCUGAGGAGUGAUUCAUCCGAACACGAACCAUUUUGAUUU